AUUGAACGCUGUCGGCAGGCCUACCACAUGCAAGUCGAGCGGCGCGGCGACCGGGUGAGUAAUGCCUAGGAAUCUGCAUGGUAGUGGGGGAUAACGUCAGGAAACGGGCGCUAAUACCGCAUACUAUCAGAUUAGCCUAGGUCGGAUUAGCUAGUUGGUGGGGUAAAGGCUUCCCAAGGCGACGCUCCGUAACUGGUCUGAGAGGAUGAUCAGUCACACUGGAACUGAGACACGGUCCAGAAUCCUACGGGAGGCAGCAGUGGGGAAUAUUGGACAAUGGGCGAAAGCCUGAUCCAGCCAUGACGCGUGUGUGAAGAAGGUCUUCGGAUUGUAAAGCACUGUAAGUUGGGAGGCGUUACCAACAGAAUAAGCACCGGCUAACUUCGUGCCAGCAGCCGCGGUAAUUC
rnacentral:rRNA from 1 species